rnacentral:rRNA from 1 species
GCGGACCGACGGGAGCUUGCUCCCUUAGGUCAGCGGCGGACGGGUGAGUAACACGUGGGUAACCUGCCUGUAAAACUGGGAUAACUCCGGGAAACCGGGGCUAAUACCGGAUGCUUGAUUGAACCGCAGGGUUCAAUCAUAAAAGGUGGCUUUUAGCUACCACUUACAGAUGGACCCGCGGCGCAUUAGCUAGUUGGUGAGGUAACGGCUCACCAAGGCGACAAUGCGUACCCGACCUGAGAGGGUGAUCGGCCACACUGGGACUGAGACACGGCCCAAACUCCUACGGGAGGCAGCAGUAGGGAAUCUUCCGCAAUGGACGAAAGUCUGACGGAGCAACGCCGCGUGAGUGAUGAAGGUUUUCGGAUCGUAAAACUCUGUUGUUAGGGAAGAACAAGUACCGUUCGAAUAGGGCGGUACCUUGACGGUACCUAACCAGAAAGCCACGGCUAACUACGUGCCAGCAGCCGCGGUAAUACGUAGGUGGCAAGCGUUGUCCGGAAUUAUUGGGCGUAAAGCGCGCGCAGGCGGUUUCUUAUGUCUGAUGUGAAAGCCCCCGGCUCACCGGGGAGGGUCAUUGGAAACUGGGGAACUUGAGUGCAGAAGAGGAGAGUGGAAUUCCACGUGUAGCGGUGAAAUGCGUAGAGAUGUGGAGGAACACCAGUGGCGAAGGCGACUCUCUGGUCUGUAACUGACGCUGAGGCGCGACAGCGUGGGGAGCGAACAGGAUUACAUACCCUGGUAGUCCACGCCGUACACGAUGAGUGCUGAGUGUUAGAGGGCUUCCGCCCUUCAGUGCUGCAGCAAACGCAUUACGCACUCCGCCUGGCGAGUACGG